rnacentral:tRNA from 1 species
GGAUGGGUGGCCGAGCGGUUGAAGGCACCAGUCUUGAAAACUGGCAGGCCCGCAAGGGCCUCGUGGGUUCGAAUCCCACCCCAUCCGCCA